GAUGAACGCUGGCGGCGCGCCUAACACAUGCAAGUCGAACGAUUAAAGCACCUUCGGGUGUGUAUAAAGUGGCGAACGGCUGAGUAACACGUGGGCAACCUGCCCCUCUCAUUGGGAUAGCCACGGGAAACCGUGGAUAAUACCGAAUACUUCGGGACUUCCGCAUGGAAGACUCGAGAAAGCUCCGGCGGAGAGGGAUGGGCCCGCGGCCUGUUAGCUUGUUGGUGGGGUAAUGGCCUACCAAGGCAAUGAUGGGUAGCUGGGUUGAGAGACCGACCAGCCAGAUUGGGACUGAGACACGGCCCAGACUCCUACGGGAGGCAGCAGGGGGGAAUCUUGCACAAUGGGCGAAAGCCGUAUGCAGCGACGCCGGGUGCGGGAUGAAGGCCUUCGGGUUGUAAACCGCUUUCAGCAAGGACGAGGCGAAAGUGACGGUACCUGCAGAAGAAGCCCCGGCUAACUACGUG
rnacentral:rRNA from 1 species